rnacentral:misc_RNA from 1 species
GAUGAAGAACGUAGCGAAAUGCGAUACGUAAUGUGAAUUGCAGAUCUCUCAGUGAACCAUCGAAUUUUUGAACGCACAUAGCGCCCGCCGGUCAUUCCGGCGGGCAUGCCUGUCCGAGCGUCGAUGACGCCGCUCGAGCCCCCGUGCUCGGUGUUGGGGCGCUAGGUCUCCCAGAGGCCUAGGCCCUCAAGUAGCAGUGCGCGGUCCGGCUGCGGGCCCCGGGUACAGUAACUUCACUGUUGAGAUGCCCUGGGAGCCGCUGGCUGGGUCAGUCGUAAAACCCCCGACAUAGGCCUUCCUGUCCGCCCCCGGCGGGGAGGGAGACCGCCUAAUGUUGACCUCGGAUCAGGUAGGACUACCCGCUGAACUUAAGCAUAUCAAUAAGCGGAGGA